rnacentral:misc_RNA from 1 species
ACCGAUUAAAAGCUUUAGAUUUGUGCCGUAGCAUACCUGGUACACCGAGAAUAAUCAUCUAUGAAGGUGACAUAAUAGCUGUACCCAGAGAGAGACUUGACAGGGGCUGGCCCCCUUCCAUCGGAAUGGAUCAAAUCCAGAGGAAAUAUUCUUUCUUUAUUAUUAUGUUCCAUGAAUUCAACAUCUUUGCCUUGUUGGCAGCUAGCUCCAGCAAAAAAAAAAAAUUCUAUUUUUCAUCUAAAAAAAAAGGCAAGAGUUGAUCAGCACCCGUAGAUCAAUUUGCAUGUCAAAAUCUGUGGUGCCAGAAGAAUGCCGACACAAACUUUCCUUAGAUUCUGGCUUUAGCAGCUGCUACUAAUGCAAAAACUUUUUCAUCCUCCAAGCCCACCUCCUGGUUGUAAUCGCUCCCCAUGCUUCUUCCCUCUAGCUAUCAUUCUGCCCGUCUUUAGGUCCCGGGUAAAUUCUUGCAUUUGAAAUCCUUGGUAACUUUACGUAAGGCAGAAGUUCUUUACUUUUGCAACCGGGAACUGAAAGUUUUCCAAGCGUGGUAGAAAUUGAUGCAGUUCCUAUAUGGGAGAUUGGGAGAGGGCUCUAUACGAGCG